rnacentral:rRNA from 1 species
UGAGGAAUAUUGGUCAAUGGGCGGAAGCCUGAACCAGCCAUGCCGCGUGCAGGAAGACGGCCCUACGGGUUGUAAACUGCUUUUCCGGGGGACGAAUAAGGGCGAUGCGUCGUCCGAUGCCGGUACCCCGGGAAUAAGGAUCGGCUAACUCCGUGCCAGCAGCCGCGGUAAUACGGAGGAUCCGAGCGUUAUCCGGAUUUACUGGGUUUAAAGGGUGCGUAGGCGGGCGCCUAAGUCAGCGGUGAAAGGCUGCGGCUCAACCGUAGGAUGGCCGUUGAUACUGGGCGCCUUGGAUUCGGUCGAGGCGGGUGGAAUGCGCGGUGUAGCGGUGAAAUGCUUAGAUAUCGCGCAGAACGCCGAUUGCGAAGGCAGCUCGCCAGGCCGAGAUUGACGCUGAGGC